AUAGAAGUCUCUGCCGCCUCUGUUCUGGGGCUGGAGGGAACCCCGCAGCCUGGCGGGUGCUGCCUGUUGAGAUGCUGCUGGGGAGUUGUGGGAGGAAAGAGACGGGGGAGCCGGGAAGGGAGUUCUCUGGUCUGGCAGCAGCAGCCAAUCAGCUGCCUGGAAACCAUCCCUCCCCAGGGAUGCAGGAAACUGCCCCGCCCAGAACAUCUUGGAGAGAACCAGCCCCAGCCGGGGGUCUCGGCUCCCUCUGCUGAGCUAGCCAUUGUCCUGAACUUAAUGCCAGCGUCUCCGUCAUCCCAGGCCGCCGGAAGCCAGCGGGGAGCGGGACGGACCACGGCCGGGGCGGGAUUUUUCUCCACCGGGGGACCGUGGGCUAUGGCCGAGGGGAGAACUAGGGCUGGGGCCCGGCGGCGAUGGAGUUGCGGGGCUCAGCCACCAGAUGGGCACAUGCAUGUGAGUGCGAGCUGGCAGCCACAUCUGUCACCCCUUUGGUCGCUGGGAUUGAAUGGAAGGGCACGCAUUCUCCCCCAAAUUUAACGGAAGUUCCUCGAAGGCAGGGACUGGCUCAUUUUUGUCUUUAUCUCCCCAGCGCCCGGCGCAUAGUAGGCACUUGGCACUGUUCUUUGACUGAAAGACCGGAAGCUUCCGUUCAAAGCUUUAUGCAACAUAUUCACUCCCGUGAUUGCUGUGGGGUCCCUGAGGGGCAGCAUCUCGUGGGCACCGAAGAGUUGGGGUCACAGAAGCUCUAGAACAGCCCUUGGAGCAUCUUGAGAUCCAUCCAGCGGCCUCUCUGAGGACCAGGGUUGCCCGCCCAGGUGUGACCUCAUGGCGGGAUAAAUGAAGUGAGAUACACUGUGCAUUCAGCCCGGGUAUGCAGGAGUGCUCUGCCAUACUACUGUGGUACGUUUAUUACAUAGGUUUUUGGCGCACACACACAAAAUCAGUUCUCUACUCUCUGACAUUCUACAGUUUGACUGGAUAUUAUCAAAUCCCCUAAACAACACUCUUGUGAUGUUACUACAACAAAGAGUAGCGGUGAUCACUCUCUAGGAUUCUACAACAGCCUGUCAUAGGUAUGAAUAAUGUGAAUAAAGCCAUUUGUAGGAUACCCCUUGACCUGCUGAGACGAUCAUUGUGCUUUGGUCUGCUUUCACUAUCCAUCAUAAUUGCUUGGGAGAUAAACAACAAAACAGCUUUGUAUCUAGGUGUGAGGACUUAAAGCAGACCAGUUUUGGGGGUUUUCUUCAAUUUACAAGUUGUUUUUCUUGUGUUACUUUGAGAUACUUAGCAACGCUGUUUGGCUUCUGUUCCAACGAAUUCAUUCAAGUGGUAUAACUGUAGGACAAGAUUCAUUAUGUAGUAGGGCUGGUGGAGAUUGGUUACUCAAUGCUCAGCACCUGCAUAAGGAGUCCAGUGUGUAAUAAAGCUGGAAAGAAGAAGUCCUGAUAGCCUGCUGACACACAAGACCCGAAAUUCCAGAUUCUCUUCAGGUCUCUGAAGGCUGGGAAGAAUGUAACAUGUAGAAAGCUGGCAGCCUCCAUCAUGUUCCCCUCCUGAGUCGAGGGCACUAGACACUUCAGAAAGUUCCCUUUGGCUGAGAACUGAGACUCCAUCUCUGCCUCUUUCUGUCUUUGUCUCUGUCUGUCUCUUUGUCUCUAUCUCUCUGUCUCUGGCUGUCUCUGUCUCUCUCUGUCUCUGUCUCUGCUUCUGUCUUUCUUUGUCUCUGCCUCUGUCUCUGUUUCGCUCUUUCCCUCUUCCCCAAAUUCUCUUGUUCCCAUCUGGAGCUCACUUACCUUGCGUACUGCCUGGUAUAUAGUCUUGUAUGUAUUUUUUUCUGUUUUUUUUUUAGUUCAAUAUCUUUAUUUUCAAAAUUAAAAAAAAAAAAACCAAAGUCCUAGACAGUUUA